rnacentral:rRNA from 1 species
AUUGAACGCUGGCGGCAGGCCUAACACAUGCAAGUCGAACGAGUGGCGGACGGGUGAGUAAUGUCUGGGAAACUGCCCGAUGGAGGGGGAUAACUACUGGAAACGGUAGCUAAUACCGCAUACCAUCGGAUGUGCCCAGAUGGGAUUAGCUAGUAGGUUGGGUAACGGCUCACCUAGGCGACGAUCCCUAGCUGGUCUGAGAGGAUGACCAGCCACACGGGAACUGAGACACGGUCCAGACUCCUACGGGAGGCAGCAGUGGGGAAUAUGGCACAAUGGGCGAAAGCCUGAUGCAGCAAUGCCGCGUGUAUGAAGAAGGCCUUCGGGUUGUAAAGUACUGUCAGCGAGGAGGCGUUACUCGCAGAAGAAGCCUCGGCUAACUACGUGCCAGCAGCCGCGGUAAUUC